UACGUAGGGGGCUAGCGUUGUCCGGAUUUAUUGGGCGUAAAGAGCGUGUAGGCGGCCAGGUAGGUCUGCUGUGAAAACUCGAGGCUCAACCUCGAGACGUCGGCGGAAACCAUCUGGCUAGAGUCCGGAAGAGGAGAGUGGAAUUCCUGGUGUAGCGGUGAAAUGCGUAGAUAUCUGGAGGAACACCGGUGGCGAAGGCGGCGUCCUGGACCAACACUGACACUGAGGAGCGAAAGCCAGGGGAGCAAACGGG
rnacentral:rRNA from 1 species